CAGGAUGAACGCUGGCGGCGUGCCUAAUACAUGCAAGUCGAGCGAACAGAUAAGGAGCUUGCUCCUUUGACGUUAGCGGCGGACGGGUGAGUAACACGUGGGUAACCUACCUAUAAGACUGGAAUAACUCCGGGAAACCGGGGCUAAUGCCGGAUAAUAUUUAGAACCGCAUGGUUCUAAAGUGAAAGAUGGUUUUACUAUCACUUAUAGAUGGACCCGCGCCGUAUUAGCUAGUUGGUGGGGUAAUGGCUUACCAAGGCAACGAUACGUAGCCGACCUGAGAGGGUGAUCGGCCACACUGGAACUGAGACACGGUCCAGACUCCUACGGGAGGCAGCAGUAGGGAAUCUUCCGCAAUGGGCGAAAGCCUGACGGAGCAACGCCGCGUGAGUGAUGAAGGUCUUCGGAUCGUAAAACUCUGUUAUUAGGGAAGAACAAAUGUGUAAGUAACUGUGCACGUCUUGACGGUACCUAAUCAGAAAGCCACGGCUAACUACGUGCCAGCAGCCGCGGUAAUACGU
rnacentral:rRNA from 1 species